UUUUGCAUCGCCUGGUAACCUUCUC
rnacentral:misc_RNA from 1 species